GAUGUUUGCUUUCAAAAAAACAUAUCACCUCAUCAAAGUUUUCAUUUCUUUGACACUGUAAGUGACUUAUUCUUCUUACUGCGCCGUCCUACAUUUGCGGCCGACUUAACUGUUAACGCAGUUUGUCAUUUGAUGCUUGUAUAACCGCCUCCGGUGCUAAUGUCCUUUCGCUCCUGUGCCAGUAAAAUUGACGUCAAAGCUCAUAUCGGUUCCCAUACUGCACAGUUGGCACAACUCACUUAAUGCAAUAUGCCCGGCGAGGGAAAAAAGUGACAGACGACGAGCCAAAAAUAAGACACGAAACCGAGAGAUAAUUGACACGCAGCUGGCAUAAUCCAGCCCCGUUUACCGCCGCGGUCUCCGCUUCAGACAGGAAGGGAAACUCUCCAGAGCAGACUGCGUGUUCAAAGUUUUGCUCGUGAAGGAGCCGCUGGCGACGCUCUGAUGUCUCCUCACGCAUGUAAAUCAUGACACCGGAGGGUUUCCAGGGAGUCCGAAAGGCUGAUCUUGUACUGAUGGAGGCCGUGUGACAAGGCUGAGUCAGACACAAGUCGUACGGAACAACGCCCCCUCCUGUUGGUUAAAGCUUAUUACAGAGAUGAAGCUUACAUUGCAGUGACUUUCUUCUUCUCUUCCUUCCUCCAACAAAUAGUCCUCUCGAAGAAAAGGUGAUGAAACAGUGAAUCUCCUCAUUUAACCGCUCCAGGCUCACAUGGGAAUGACUCGAGUUUCACAGAGACUGAAUCAUCAUGCGCCGUACGUCCUCACACCACUCGGCCCUGGAGAAUCUCUACAUACAGCGGCCCCGGCAUGAAAUGCUGCAUGCUGCAACUUUCCCUCAGCUCAGCAUAAUCCUGCAGUGAUUAACACACACACACACACACACACACACACAGAUGCAACAAAGGCACUGUGCCGUGAGCUUACUGUCACACUGUAAAACACUUGGCUUAGUCUUCAUAGUCAGAACUAGACUAUACUCUACUAUGUUGUGCAGGCUCUUGGAUUGCACAUGGUGUGGAUCAUAUAUGUUUGCUUUUUUUUGCUAUGUUAGCCGUUUAUCAAAGCAUAUUCACAUCACAUUUAAACUACAGACUCUUAGCUUUAAGUUGAGGCCAUUCACAUCCAAAGUGGAUAGUGUGAUGUAGGAAUUACAACCAUUUUUCAUAGACAGCCUGUGUGGGCAGGUCUGCAGCUACACAAUCCCAAGCAAAACAAACUAUGAUCCACUGUGUGUUUGGACACCUUUCAUAAUUUGGUCUUUGUCAAACUCUCUCAAAUUCUACCACUUGUCCAUUUUUCCUUCUUUUAAUAUCAAUUUUGUACAAUUGUGGUUUAACAUACCCAAAGUUUUAGAAGUAUUAUUAAUUUAACUACUAUGAAAGUAAAAAUGU